GAUUUUGCUAUCAUGUUACACUUUUGUAGAUCAGGAUCGAAUUUGAACGUAUUACUCCUAAACAGAUUAUUUCAAUCCUGCAUUAUAUGGAAAUAUCGAUAACCCAUUCGAGCCUUUUUUUAAAUGUGUUUAUGUUUUUGAAAAAGUAUAUUAUUGUGAUACUUCCAUGUAUUAAAUCGUUUAAAUGGUAUGGUAAAGAACAGUACACAGAUACUUAUUCUUUGAUGCCCCGAAACACAUUCCUAGCUCUAGAUCUGCCUUACAUUUCAAUAAUGGCUCUUUCAUCACAUUUGCUUGAUAACUGCUGAUUUGUAAUGCUUAAAAUUGAUCCCACUCAGUUUGACUAUCUUAGGUUAGCUGUAAUAUCGAACUCGACAGUAGCUUCCUCUGUCAUGUCGGAGAUCUCAGGAGACGACUUGGUAUUUUGUGUCAAGAAGAGGUUAACCUCCCACUUAACAAGAUAAACAUCAAAUUCAUAGGAGUGCCAAAAAGGUACCGUUUAAUCGAGAGGACUUCACUGAUGACAGAGAUGUGGAAAAGACUACGUCCUUCUCUGGAAAACUACAAGGAUAAAAUACCCACCUUCUUCGGGAAAAAGUCCAUCAUAUGCGAAAGGAAACUUACUCACGUGCGAAAGACGAACUCUAAGAAUUGGAGAAUAACGGCAGUAGACAGCAGCUAACUUCCCCUGUACUCAACGACAUUGAACAAUAGACAUGAAAUGACUCGCUG